UUUCUUACUCAAGGAGCUCAAAUGUGGGCCUGCUAAUGACAAGUUUAUGUCCAAAAGAGGGGAUAUCAAGACCCAACCUGCUCCCUAGUGUUGUGAGAUUGCACAAGGACUCUACUGAGGGAGACAGACUACUGCACUUGAUGUUUCCCUGAGAACCAGGGAAAGCUCUUCCCCCUCUCUUUCAAGAAAGCCAGUGUAAAUAAAUGGUUUCUGAGGCCAUAAAGCCUGUGUGAAAUGUCUGAAUGACAAAGUAAUGAACAUUGUUUGUGGCUGGAGUCAACACAAGUAUUUAUUGCUAAGCAACAAAGACUGAUGUCAGUGAGUUUUGCCAAAUGCAGAUGAGAGAUGGAGGAAAAUAACAGGCCUCAAAGGAGCUACCUUUCAGAACAAGCAUGUUUUUCUCAGUGUUUUCUUGGAGAAGGAAACAAGGAAAUUAAAAUAGAAGCAGAUGGCAUUUUAUUUCAGAAAAUCGUCUCAGAAUAAUGUCAUCUAAAAACCCAAUAACUCAGGUAACUUGCCUGCUGCAGACUUUAUGUUUGCUGUUAGGCUCAUGUGCUCCUCUGCAUUUCUCUGUGAAAGGUUUGAGAGAAAGGAAGUCUAAUAAUCAGUUGCAACAAAUAUUUUUCUGCUGUUUCUCAUUUAAAUCUUGUUGACAGAGAUCUAGAGAUCUUCUUUGACACUCCAGACAGCUUCUGGAGGAAAUAAAAUACCAUAAACAGA